rnacentral:lncRNA from 1 species
CCGCCUGUGCUUGCUGCUGGAUGGAACCUGGGGCUCCUGGCCUCUGCUCCGGCCAGCUUCCUUCUGGUGUCGAAGCUGUGUGAAGGGAAGGGCUGCUAGAGCACUCACCACUGGGUCCCGGGCCCCUCCCAGCGCGGUGCCACCACACACAGCCGUGCCGCGGCCUUCCGUGUCAUGCCCCCACCUGUGAGGAGCCCAGCCUGGCCCCAGGGCCUUCCCACACACAGGGACAUCUUGAGUCUGACGCCUCCCUACCUACUCCUCAGCACGCCCAGGACCGGCCCUCCCUCUGCCGCCCUGGUACAGUCAGGCGGCCACUGGCUGCCACCUCCUCAGCCCAGCCAGGAGACUCACAGCGGUGCCCCCAGAAAUGGCACUGCCCCUGCCUCUUCUAGUAAGCUGCUGCGAACACAUGUCCCCAGGAGGGUUCUCCCAUGCCCAGGCGGGCUCCAGUGACACCUGGGCCACCUCACCAGGCACCGAGGCUCCAACCCGGCCAGGCCAGCUGGAGCCUGCACUGCACCCCCCAGGAAUGGGCCUGCAUGGGGGCGUCAGGUGAGAAGCCCAGCUGGGUCCAGGUGGACACAGGUAGCAACCAUCGACAGAAAGCUCUGUGCCCAGGGCCUCCUGCCUUGGCUGCCCAGCGGGGCCCCUCCACCAGGCUGGGCCCUGGAGGCAGAAGCUGUUGGGCACGAGGGUCCUCCCUCCCUCCCGAGACUCACGUCCUCCUGCUUCUGAGCCAGUUCCUCCAACAGGCUCAGCACCUCUUCAUCUGCCAGGUCACAGGGCCGCUGCCCCUGGGGGGAGGGAGGGAGUAACAGAGGGGCACGGGUUCUGCUCCCCCUCCCCAGCACCCGGGCCCGGCCCUACCGCGUGGGUCAGCGAGUCCAUGCCCCCGCCAUGCUCGGCCAGCAGGCGACACGCGUCCUCCACACCCCAGUGGGCUGCCGCGUGCAGGGGGGUCCAGCCAUCCCCAUCUCGGAGCUCCGGGUCAUAGCCGGCCUGCAGCAGGAGCCUGGGGGCCAGGGAGGUGGGUCAGGGCCGAAGCAGGGUCGAAGCUGGUUCCCACAGCACCAACCUUACACAGGCAAAUGCUCCUGGCCAACGGUCAAGGGCCCCAAACCAGGGCUCUCCCCAGGGACCCUGCGGCCCGCCAGCCUCCAACCCUCCAGGGACCAGCAGGCAGCAGCCAGUCAACCCUGGCCUGGGGUGGCUAUAGGAACUGGGUCCUCCUUCCCACAGGGCCCCAGGAGCCUGUGGGGGAGUGGCUGUAAGGACGCUGUCCUCCUGUCCUGCACCCCCUCCCCCCGGCUCCAGGCCUAGGAAGACAAUGAGACCCCAAGGUGCAGGCUCCAGGCUGCAGCCUGUGGGGACCCUGCUGGCUCCUGGAGGUGGCUCUCAGGAGUGUGGCACUGCCCCCCCCCCAGGACACAGGGGACCUCUCUGGCUGUUCUAACUUGGGGUGGCAGCCAGUGGCAUCUAGUGACUGGGGGCAGGGACAAGGGUCAACAACCCACAGGCCCUCCAACCUCAGAAAGACCUGAGCCCAAAUGUCCACAAUGCUCAGGCUGAGAAGCCUGGCCCAGCCAGUGCUCCCAGGAAACAGUAGUCGGCACUCAGCCUGGGCAGAGGCAGGCUUACAGGUCCACUGAACUGACAGCCCUGGUGGCACAGACCUUCGAUCCCAACACUCCCAGAGGCUGAGGCAGAAGGGUCGCAAGUUUGAGCCCAGCCUUGGCAACUUAGCAAAUGAGACCCUAUCUCAAACAGAAAAAAGAAGUCCAGGGAACUUUCCAAACCCAGCAGGCUGGCCGGGGAUUUAGCUCACUGGUUCUGACGCCUGCCUUGAAAGUGGAAGGUCCUGAGUUCGAUCCCUGGUUCCAAAAACAAACAAACGAACAAACAACAAAAAAACCCCAAACCCACCAUGGGAAGAUGCGGCUGUUCUUGGGGAGCAGGGUGCGUACAGAGUGACAGCUGUCACAUGGGGACCUCAGCCGCUCCGCUCCAGCCAUGUGGGGAUUCUGAGCUUCCCGAUGCAACCCUCAGUCACCACCCGCAGUCCCUCCCCACCUCUCACCUUCUCCAUGACCCUGCUCAGCUCCAUAAGCAGUGACAAAACCACAGAGAACGGGGAUUCACUUUUCCCGUGCUGAGAUCACACCCAGAGCCUCACACAUGCCGGGUGCGUGUGCUACCACUAAGCCUGAGCCUCCUGGCCAUUCUACACUCAAAGCUUCAGUUCUGUGACAGAUCGAGGCUGCUCGCAAACAUCAACUCUCUCAGGCUGAGGGCACAGCUCAGGGGUAGACUGCUCGCCUCGCAGGCAUGAAGCCCUGAGUUCAAUCCUCAGCACCACACACACACGUCAACUCUCUAUUAACCACACGUAAUUUUUAGGUGGACACAUGGUCAUGGUCACUCAGCCAAUGAGGAAUCUCCAGCAUCCCUCAUAGGUGAUGAGGGCCUGGUAAAUGGGACACCUGAAUGAAGUGGGACACGCCCCUUGGCACUGCUGUCUUCUUAGGGUCAGACAAGCUGGGCGUGGGGGUGUAUUCCUGUAACCCCAGCUACCUGGGAGGCUGAGGCAAGAGGAUGAAAAGUCCUAAGCCAGCCUGGGCACCUUAGUGAGACCCGUGUCAAAGCAGAAUGUUAAAAGGGCUGGGGUGCAGUUCAGCAAGAGAGCGCUGGCUUAGCAGGCACGAGGCCCUAGGUUCAACUUCUAGCACUGCAAAAGAAAAAAGGACAGACAUUUGCCCCUUCUCCUCCCCACUUCCUGCUGGCGGGGAUCAGACGUGCACACGGGCAGGAGUACAGGUGGAGGCGCCUGACACCACUGGAAAGGGGAGAACAGCUGAUGAGGGACAAAGGAAGACCCCAGAUGGUGGGAGGAUGACAGAAGAGGAACGCGCACUGUGGUAUUUAAAGUACAUAUGUCCCAGACAGCCCAGACUUCAAAUGUGUAAAAAACCAGCAGGUGAAAUAGGCCGAGUCUACCACCACAGUGAGAAGCGAACAGGAGCAGCCAGGCAGGUGCUGCCAGGAUCCGGAAGGUCUGGACGGCGGGGAGGACACUGCCCGACACCGGCCCUUCCCAGCACAGGUGCUCGGGGCAGACUGAGCAAGAGCAAACCAUGCGGGCCCUGUUGUCUGAUCCAACUGCAAUUAAGCCGGAGAAUCGGUAAUGAAGUAACUGGGAGUCAGGGACACACUGCUAAACAAUCCACAGGCCACAGAAGAGGCUCAUGGAGCUGGCCACGGUCCUGCACACCUGUUAAUCCCAGCACUCAGGAGGCUGAGGCAGGACGAUCAAAAAUUCAAGCCCCCGGGGCUGGGGGAUUUAGCUCAGUGGUUUCGCCACCUACUGUGCAGGCACAAGGACCAAGCUGGGAGUUCCAUCCCCAGUACCAAAAACAAAAAAAAAAUUCAAUCCCAGCCAGAGCAACUUAGUGAGAUCUUAUCUCAAAAUAAACAAUAAAAGCCAGGCGUGGUGGAGCACGCCUGUAAUCCCAGCACUCAGGAGGCUAAAUCAGGAGGAUCACUACAGUUCCAUGCCAGCCUGGACUACACAGUGAGUUCAAUGCUAGUUGGAAAUACAUAGCAGACUCUCUCUCAAAAAAAGCAAAAAACAAACAAACAGGGCUGGGGAUGAGCUCAGUGUGAAGGUCCUAGGUUCAAUUCCCAGCACUGGAAACAAAAGAAAGACAGACCAUCAGUUAGAGAAUGUUUUACACUGAACCGCAACGAAGGAGACCACACAAGGAAGCGGCAGCCCGGCUGUGCUUGCAGGGAGCGACAGCCUCAGGUGCAGAGCCUGCAAAGGAAAGGCCAAGACGCGCAAACAGGAUGGGGCGCUCACCUCAUCACCUCGAUGUAGCCCUUGGCGGCGGCCACGUGCAGGGCAGAGGCCCCCGUGCGUGGGUGCCGGGCCUCGGGCAUGGCGCCCCCAUUCAGCCAGCACCGCGUGUCAUGAAGCAGCAGCUCCUCCUCCGCCCGCUUGGCUGCCUGCACAUCCACACCUGGGGGAGGAGAACAGAUGAGGCGGGCUCGCCCCUGGGUGGGUACAGGGCUGCACCCCAGCCGCAGCUCAGCCUGGGCCCCUGCCUGGGCUCAGGAGCCUGGAGCGCCCAGGUGCCCAGAUGUGCUGUGCAGUCCCAGCCACGGAGCUUCUCAAGGUCACCGCUACCGGCCAGGAGGGCAGAGAUGGGGUCUUCCCCAUCCCGAUCAGGAAGCCUAAGCUCACGAAGCACACCCUGCAUCUGCAACCUCCAACCUCGCAAAGGGCCUCACAAAGGACCUCACAAAGGACCCCCGGGCCAGCCCUGAGCACCUGAAAUGCAGCUGAGCCCAAGGGAGACCCGCCCUGACCUCGAGGUGCAGGCUGGAUCUCGAAGCUCAGGAAAAGGAGUUAAAGUCAUGUGAACAGCUGUACAUGUUAAAAACCAAGUGUGGCAGAACCGACAGGAGCCCCUCGGCUGCCUCACUGAAGGCAGCCACCAUCUCCGGCCCGCCGUUGCAUGCUUACUACACAGCCAGAAAACCAUGAAUGCAACCCAAGAAACGCAACCCUUAACUCGGGGGCAGGCAGCCCGCAACACCCUGCCACAGCAGGUCCUCCCGGCUGGGGCUGCGGCUUGGCGCCCCCUGGUGGCAGGCGGCACUCAGCCCCUGGCGACCACCAUUCUACUGGCUCUGGACUUUUUUAUGUCUCCGUAAUUUCAACGACUCCAGUAUCUCCCUGAGUGGUGCCCACACCCUGCCUGUCACCAGGUGACUGCUCAGCCUGGGUCCUCCAGCUCCUGUGCAGCGUGGCCCAGAGCCCUCUCCCCUCCCAGCUGAAAACGCUGUCACGUGUGUGUCACGAUUUGCCUGCCCAUGCGGCGAAGGGCAUCUCGGUUCCUUCUACCUCCCUCCGUGAACACACGGUGCAGACACUGCUUCUGCAGCCUGAAGCAGCAGGCUGGAGUGAACGCCUAGUCCUGGGCAAGAGCGGCGCGUGGUUCUGCAGAGCCACUGGGGCUGGUACCUGGCUGAGGCGGAUCCUCCCCAGGAACAGCAGAGUGGGGGAACAGCCUGUGCAGACGCCUAGCACCCCAAGGACUGGCCACCCCUGAAGACGAUGUCCCAAGGGGUCUGGCCCAGUGACCCCAGGGUGCCCAGUGAGGGGAGGCAUCGUGGCAACGGACCCAGCCGGCCUGGGACGGGGCAGCGGCCUUCACAGCGGAGCCCUGGGAGGCACCACUGCCUCUGCUCCGGCACAGCCUGUAAGCCAGCACCCCCAACAAUACACCCUGCACAGCCUUCUCCUCAUCGCUGCAGGCAACUUCUGCGGAGAGCGGAGAGCCAGAGUCCAUGGGUCACCUGGAAGCCACCCUGGGGAUUCCAGAGACCCCGAGAGGCUGCCACGCAAUGUAAGCAGUCCUGGCCACACCAUGCUCUGAGAGGAUCAUCGGGCUGAGGCCAGGCCUGGGAGGGCGGGGGUGCAGCUCCGCAGUGAGCACUUCCGAGCACACACAGGCCGGGUUCAUCCCCAGCACAGACCCUGGCCAAAAUACAGCAGAGCUCAGUCUCCUGCAGAGCAAAUGCUCAGGUCCAAGCGGAGGACGUUCUAUCAGCAGCACCAGCCAGGCACACAAGGGGAGGCGAGGGCCGGUCCAGGCAGAGGAAAACUAAGG